rnacentral:lncRNA from 1 species
GGGAGAGCGCGGAGUCCGGCAGGCUGAGAGCAGAGCCUGAGUGCGCCGCCGGUUCAGCCGGGCAGGGUCGCCUCGCGCCAGGAUGCUGCGCCCCGCCGCCCUGUCCAGCCAGCAACCCUGGCGCGACCCCGGGAAGAAGCACAGGUUCUUUCGUCCAGUCGCCGCUGGAGGACCGAAAGUUUUGCUCGCUGCAAGUCUCUUCCUCCCAGAGUCCCAGUCACCCACCAUGCGACGUCCCAGAAGGAUCCCGGAGGCUUAGUGGGAACGAAAUCGGCUGUUUUGCACCCCUCCAUCCUUAUCCCUCAGGGUAGAGCAGGGACUCUAGAGAGUACACCUCCCAGCUACCAUCCACUUCACCCUGUCUCCUCUCUCGGUGAGCCUUGGAAUCCGGUCUCUUCGCAGAUGCCUUCAGGAGUCAGAAGCAAAGGGGAAAUGGACAUAACUCCGAGAAACCGAGUGAACGUCCAGCCUCAGCAACAGCUUUGCCACCAUGAGCUUCAUUGAUCACAUCCUACCACAACUAGGAGACCUAAACCUUGCUCACUGACAGCAUUUGAAGAUGCAAAUACUGCUAUGGAUUGGAAGGUGCCUGAGGAAUGAAAGGGGACAUAGCCAUUAUGACCCACCUCGUGAGAUUUUAGGGAAGAAAGACCAUAGUGAUUGCAUCUAUUAAGAAGCCCUUACUGACCUGCAUGGUGAGGCUCGUGUGAAAUUUCAGCAUGCGGGAGAUUGAGACAGAAGGAUCACAAGUUCAAGGCCACCCUAGGCUAUGUAUCAAGAACUUUUUUUGAACAAAGAAAAAAGAAACGGCAGUACAUAAUUUCUCCUAAGUAAGUAUUCUACCAUUCGGAUACUGAUCAACUAAAGGAAUUGUCUCAGUUAAUGUCAUGUCAUGUAACUGCCCCAGUUAGAUCAGCCUGGGGUAUCUCAGAGAAUAACAACCUCAUUUUCUAGAACCAGAAAAGCGGACUGGCUCCCCUUGCCUGAUAUGUAGAAGAUAAAUGACACAGGGGCCUGAGUGGGAUAGUGGCCACCCUGAAGCAGCCAAGGCUUGGGAGAAGAGAAAUCUGAUCUGAGCAGGACAUGCCUCGCUGAUAUAAAUAGAUGGUGACAUAGUGGCCCAGCACUGCAGGCAGGGGCAGUGGCUACCUUAACAACCAGCCUGAGACACAGAGAUGGUAGUUUCCCAUAGUGACAGCCUUCAGUGGACAGUGAGCAAAUCCCAAGGGUGGUCUAGAUAGGGGUGAGAGAAUUCUGCAGGGCCUCAGGACUACAAUCACAACACGAAGUCAUGUGACAUGGGUAAGAAGACAGAGUUUUCAGUUGGUCUGACUUCAAAGGGCUGGAGAUGAGGCUGUCAGCUGAGAGCUCCUGCUUGCCGAAGACCAUGGGCUGGAAUCCCUGUACUGCAUGGACCAGAUGUGGUGGCACAUGAAGGUCAAGGCUAUCCUCAACCACACAUGAGUUCAAGGUCAGCCUGGGAUACAUGCAAUCCUGUCUCAAAACAAAGAACAGUUCUUUCAAGAGGAAAUCUUAACAUUAAGGCUGUGCUGAUCCAAGGUCCAUGGUAAUUUGUUACAGUAGCCCCAGAGCUCUCCUUGCAGAUGAAGUAGAAGCCUGGGUCUAAAGAGACUUUGGAGGAAGGCGCUGUCAGUGCAAAGUCCCUGUGGUGGAGUCCACGAGCCAGAACACACUCCUCUGAGGAAGGAUGGAAACCCUCUGUCAGCGGAGGCUGCUUCUGGCUGUUUUUGUCCUGCCUUGGAGCUAACCUGGAAGUAAGCAUGUGAGGCUCUUGAUCAAGUAUGAUCAAGGAGGAUUUUUUUGGAUUCAGCUAAGGUCGUGGUUUGGGCUUUAAACUCUGCUGGCAACGUGGAACAAAACGCAUGGUUGAGAUUGACCAGGGAGGAAACUGUCUUCCUAAGUCAGCAAAGGGACCCACAUUGAGUGUAUUGUUUGUGCAAAGGCCCCAGAGCUCAACAUCAGCAGAAAAUGUGACACGACAAAGCUGUCAGCAAAGGUGACAUGCAUCUGCAAUGCUUUCAAGAUCAGGGAACACCUCAAGGGGCUUGGCAAGUGUGCUGCUUUCAGAGAUGUGACUGGGUAGCACAGCUUAUGGGGUCAUAGGAACAGAUAGUUAUUCACUUAUUCAUUCAAUUAAUAAAUGUUUAAUGAGCACCUAUCAAGUUCCCAACACCAACUAGACUUUGGGGAAAUAGCAGUGAGUGGGCCAUAGACGGCGAUGACUUCACAGAACUUACUGGAAAAGGACACAGCACGUUUGCUGUGUGAUUAUUAUUUUCCACUAUUAUUAAAGUUUUUCGAUUAUUAAAUUGUUGUAGUAAUAAAACAGAAAAAAGUAAUUAUAGAAAUAUAUAGUAGCUGGGUGGUGGGUGUUACACACCUUUAAUCCUAGCACUCAGGAGGCAAAGGCUGGAAGAUCUCCGAGUUAGAGGCCAACCUGGUCUACCGAGCAAGUUCUAGGACAGCCAGAGCUACAGGGAGAAACCCAGUCUCAAAAAAACAAACAAAAAUCAUAGUCUUCUGAAUUUGCUUUUUAGUUAAUAUGUCUUGAGUACCCUCUGUUCACAAAUACUCAUUUCUUUUUAAGAGCUGAGUAGUAGUCUACAUUAUGAAUGCAGCACAGUGUAACUGUGGUCUUCUUGGUAGAGCUUGUCUGUACUAUAAAUAACAUGCAAAGAAAACUACCGAGCAUGUCUUUAUGUAGCCUAUGGGCGCAUUUUUAAAGGGCAAACACAUAAAAGUGAAUGUGGGUCAAAGGGGACUGAGUAAUUUAAUCGAGACAUUGCUAUGAUGAGCCCACAUGUCCUACACCCCCAGCAACACGGGUGUCAGGGGUGGCCAUCCUGUCCAAUGGGAAUGACAGCCACUUGUUUAAAUGAACCAUUCUAACCUCUACUUCAGCCGAUGUGAAGCAGCCUAACAGGAAGUAGUCUAAGGCCUCAUAAAGUGUGUGCUGUGACCCCAUGUGGUGUCAUGAGGCUAAAUCUGAAGGUCUCAAAGGCUUUGGCCGUAUUAAAAGCUCACUGAACAUACAACAAUUAAAAAGUAGUUUUAAGCCACACAACCCAGUGCUCCCGGGGUUGCCGCAUCACAGGCCCUCACAAAGCCUUUCUUCUGAACACUACACCCGUAUUUUGCACCGUGUAUGACGUUACUCAGUGCUGAUGGUUCCUGCCGGGGAAGGCUCAGCUCAGAUUUGAGCUACGACUGCUGUAGAGUGCUCCACUGUGCAUGCAGUUUUCUGCUCUUGCAGACAGGCCAGGCUGGAACUGUGGAAAACAGAGUGUUUUCCUGCCGUCCUUCCUCGGCCCAUGGGUAUGAAGUUAUUGUGUCUCUGACUGUUCGCUGUUAGAAAGUUUGAUGUUAAGAAUUGUUAUUUGAGAGCUGGGUGUGGUGGUGCACGCCUUUAAUCCCAGCACUCAGGAGGCAGAGGCAGGUGGAUAUCUGAAUUCAAGGCCAGCCUGGUCUACAAAGUGAGUUCCAGGACAGCCAGGGCUACACAGAGAAACCCUAUCUCAAAAAAAAAAAAAAAAAAAAAAAGAAUUGUUAUUUGAGUUUCAUAGAAAUCAUUCAGUGGAUUAUGGUGUGGGAGUAGGACAGAAUCUCUAAUAAUUCUGAAGGGGUCCCAGUCAUACUCCCAACAUUUUGUACUAUGCAUUCGUGAGAGGCAGCCUUCUUGGUAUUGACAGUUAUACAAUCAAAAUAUUGACCCACUCUGAAAGAUGAUGGAGGUGCUGGAGAUCCUACAAUAUCACAUAUCCAGCCAAGACUUGGUUCAUUUAUGGAAACAAGCAUGGUGUCGAAUUAUUAUGCAAACUUGCUUUAAUCGUUAAUAAAUAGUAAAAAUUACAUGUAUACUACAG